AGCGAACGCUGGCGGCAGGCCUAACACAUGCAAGUCGAACGAACUCUUCGGAGUUAGUGGCGGACGGGUGUGUAACACGUGGGAACGUUCCUUUUGGUUCGGCAUAACUCAGGGAAACUUGUGCUAAUACCGAAUGUGCCCUUCGGGGGAAAGAUUUAUCGCCAUUAGAGCGGCCCGCGUCUGAUUCGCUAGUUGGUUAGGUAACGGCUCACCAAGGCGACGAUCAGUAGCUGGUCUGAGAGGAUGACCAGCCACACUGGGACUGAGACACGGCCCAGACUCCUACGGGAGGCAGCAGUGGGGAAUCUUGCGAAAUGGGCGAAAGCAUGACGCAGCCAUGCCGGGUGAAUGAUGAAGGUCUGAGGAUUGUAAAAUUCUUUCAACGGGGACGAUAAUGACGGUACCCGGAGAAGAAGCCCCGGCUAACUUCGUG
rnacentral:rRNA from 1 species